rnacentral:rRNA from 1 species
AUUGAACGCUGGCGGCAGGCUUAACACAUGCAAGUCGAGCGAGAGGCGGACGGGUGAGUAAUGUCUGGGAAACUGCCUGAUUGAGGGGGAUAACUACUGGAAACGGUAGCUAAUACCGCCUACCAUCAAAUGUGCCCAGAUGGGAUUAGCUAGUAGGUGGGGUAAUGGCUCACCUAGGCGAAUAUCCAUAGCUUGUCUGAGAGGAUGACCAGCCACAGUGGAAAUGAGACACGGUCCAGACGCCUACGAGAGGCAGCAGUGGGGAAUAUUGCACAAUGGGCGCAAGCAAGAUGCAGCCAUGACGCGUGUGUGAAGAAGGCCUUCGGGUUGUAAAGCAGUUUCAGCGAGGAGUCGUUACUCGCAGAAGAAGCACCGGCUAACUCCGUGCCAGCAGCCGAGGUAAUAC